rnacentral:rRNA from 1 species
UGGGGAAUAUUGGACAAUGGGGGCAACCCUGAUCCAGCCAUGCCGCGUGAGUGAUGAAGGCCUUCGGGUUGUAAAGCUCUUUUGGCGGGGACGAUGAUGACGGUACCCGCAGAAUAAGCCCCGGCUAACUUCGUGC